rnacentral:rRNA from 1 species
UACGUAGGGUGCAAGCGUUAAUCGGAAUUACUGGGCGUAAAGCGUGCGCAGGCGGUGAUGUAAGACAGAUGUGAAAUCCCCGGGCUCAACCUGGGAACUGCAUUUGUGACUGCAUCGCUGGAGUGCGGGCAGAGGGGGGAUGGAAUUCCGCGUGGUAGCAGUGAAAUGCGUAGAUAUGCGGAGGAACACCGAUGGCGGAAGGCAAUCCCCUGGGCCUGCACUGACGCUCAUGCACGAAAGCGUGGGGAGCAAACAGG